CCUACGGGGGGCAGCAGUGGGGAAUAUUGCUCAAUGGGGGAAACCCUGAAGCAGCAACGCCGCGUGGAGGAUGAAGGUUUUCGGAUUGUAAACUCCUUUUGUUAGAGAAGAUAAUGACGGUAUCUAACGAAUAAGCACCGGCUAACUCCGUGCCAGCAGCCGCGGUAAUACGGAGGGUGCAAGCGUUACCCGGAAUCACUGGGCGUAAAGGGCGCGUAGGCGGGAUAGCAAGUCAGAUGUGAAAUCCUAUGGCUUAACCAUAGAACUGCAUUUGAAACUGUUAUUCUAGAGUAUGGGAGAGGUAGGUGGAAUUCUUGGUGUAGGGGUAAAAUCCGUAGAGAUUAAGAGGAAUACUCAUUGCGAAGGCGACCUGCUAGAACAUAACUGACGCUGAUGCGCGAAAGCGUGGGGAGCAAACAGGAUUAGAUACCCGGGUAGUC
rnacentral:rRNA from 1 species